rnacentral:rRNA from 1 species
CAAUAGCGUAUAUUAACGUUGUUGCAGUUAAAAAGCUCGUAGUUGGAUUUCUGGAGGGAGCGUCGGCCCGUAUUUACGAGUGCGUGACGUCUCUGUCCAUCCUUGCGGGAAGGCACGGCAUUGAUUUGUUGUGUCGGAUCGCAUCAUUUACUGUGAAAAAAUUAGAGUGUUCAAAGCAGGCUUUCGCUUGAAUACAUUAGCAUGGAAUAAUAAGAUUGGACUUUGGUGCUAUUUUGUUGGUUGAGCCUAAAGUAAUGAUUAAUAGGGAUAGUUGGGGGCACCUGUAUUGCGUUGUCAGAGGUGAAAUUCUUGGAUUUACGCAAGACAAACAGCUGCGAAAGCGUCUGCCAAGGAUGUUUUCAUUAA